AAAGAGAAAUGAGUCAUUUUGGGGGUGCAAAUAACAAUUAAAAUAAGGCUCAAUGCCAAAAAGUUCCAAAAUGACCAAUUUUGUCUUAUUCUUAUUUUGUUUUUAGCAAUUUGUCUUUAGGGCUGAGACAACCAACCAGAAAGCACCACGUGGCGCACAUUAAAUAAAGAUAAAAAAGAAAUAGAGCAGGACACAUGUCACUGUUUGG
rnacentral:lncRNA from 1 species